AUGUGCAAUGCCUGCCAGCUUACGUCACCCACGUCAGCCCUUCUUGGAUGCCCUCUAUUUCUGCAACUGUGGUCGUGGGAGAGGUUCUCCAUAGGACGACCGGACGUACAUGUUGACGAGCCUAUGGAUAUCAUGUUUGAUGUUGAAGGCAUCGACAUGCCUACCUUCAGUCUGAGUUGGACAUGUCGCAGCAGAUGCUUUGCUGGUGAUCAGACCAGACGAGCUUACACGGCACUAAACGAGCAGUUUGAUGCGUACAGUGGGGUGAUCUGGCAGCCGUACACGCAAGAAGCCAUAGAUGCAAGAUACCCCGGCAGUUUGUCCGUGCUGUGCACAAGAGACGCCGAUUAUUGGAAGACGAAAUCGAAGAUCAUCUUCGAUGUCUUCGUCGAGGAGAUGGCCUAG
rnacentral:rRNA from 1 species